rnacentral:rRNA from 1 species
GAUGAACGCUGACAGAAUGCUUAACACAUGCAAGUCAACUUGAAUUUGGGUUUUUAACUUAGGUUUGGGUGGCGGACGGGUGAGUAACGCGUAAAGAACUUGCCUCACAGCUAGGGACAACAUUUGGAAACGAAUGCUAAUACCUAAUAUUAUGAUAAUAGGGCAUCCUAUAAUUAUGAAAGCUAUAAGCGCUGUGAGAGAGCUUUGCGUCCCAUUAGCUAGUUGGAGAGGUAACGGCUCACCAAGGCGAUGAUGGGUAGCCGGCCUGAGAGGGUGAUCGGCCCAAAGGGGGCAGGAAACCCGCCCCUAACCCCACGGGGGGCAAGAGGGGGGGAAUAUUGAAAAAGGGCCCGAGAGUUUGAUCCAGAAAUUCUGUGGGAAAGAUAAAUUUUUUGGAAAUGAAAAGUGUUUUAAGUUGGAAAAAAACAAAGGCGGGUACCAAAAGAAGAAGGGGCGGCUAAAUACGUG